rnacentral:miRNA from 1 species
UGAUAUGUUUGAUAUUGGGUUGUUUAAUUAGGAACCAACUAAAUGUCAAACAUAUUCU